UUGCAGCUGGAAAGCAGAGUGGGAAAGAGAUUAAGAAAGAAAGCUUCCACGGUUUCCUUUCCUGAUUCUCUCCGAUCCUGCGUUACUGAGAAGGAAGCUACUCUGUCAAAAGGCGAAAGCAAAGCAGAACCUCAUCAUCAACAAAUAAUAGCAUACCCACUAGAAGAUUACACAAGGUCUUGUCACAGCAAUUUCUUAUUAUUUUCACUGCUGUACCUCUCACUCUCGCCGCAUGUUAUCACAUGUGGUCCUGUACUCCUGUUUACUGGUGAGUCAAGAAGAUAGUCAAGGUAACCGUGUAACACAUGUGGCUUUGAACUUUCAUUACAGUGAAUAGCGUGUCCCAAGUGUGCUUAUAUUUCAAGGCCGGCAGGGCCAGUAGGCCGUCAUUCCUAUGAGCGUUUACAGCCUCACCACCUACACACACACACCAUGCUUCUCCUCGCCUUCAAGAUGUCGCUACUUCUGCUUCUAGCUGAUCAAGCUGAUCAAUAAAGUGAACACCCCCGAGCACUAACUAGAUUCUUUCAAGGUGUCCUGACAGCAUCCUCUUUAUUUCCACGUCCUGGCCCCACCCUGUUUGCAGCGUCACUGCUGCGUGAUGCCUGACCCAGUUUACGCGGUGGCCCAUUUCGCAUUGUAGCUUGUCCUCGAUCCUCAAGGCUCCAGGGACGAAGGAACGAGCCCAGCAGCCUCCUUGCAGCUGGAAAGCAGAGUGGGAAAGAGAUUAAGAAAGAAAGCUUCCACGGUUUCCUUUCCUGAUUCUCUCCGAUCCUGCGUUACUGAGAAGGAAGCUACUCUGUCAAAAGGCGAGAGCAAAGCAGAACCUCAUCAUCAACAAAUAAUAGAAGCAUACCUUGGUACCCACUUAGAAGAUUACACAGGGUCUUGUCACAGCAAUUUCUUAUUUUCACUGCUGUGCCUCUCACUCUCGCCUUUACUGGUGAGUCAAGAAGAUAGUCAAGGUAACCGUGUAACACAUGUGCCUCUGAACUUUCUUUACAGUGAAUAGCGUGUCCCAAGUCAAGGUCAGCAGGGCCAGUAGGCUGUCAUUCCUAGGUCUCUUUUACGACGUACAAUACUAUCACUUGGUAGUAUGUAGUACAGAAAAGAUCUAGCCAUCCAUUAGAAAGAGUAAGAUUGUCAUUGAUAGCCAGACCACAGAAUCGUUAACUGAUUCCAACUUGGAUUUGUGAAGCUUGUGCCUGUGAACACUGAAGAUGAAACGGUCCAUAUGCAUUGCACUGAUUCAGGACAACUCGAAGUCUAAUUCUGAAUGUUUUGUUUUAGAGUUCUAAGGAAGGAUCUCCUGUCCACUGAAUUGGUUCAGGACAAAAUCAUCAGUUUUACAGCGCCGAUUAUAGGACAUCUCUGCAAGAACAAGAGAGAAAACAGACUACUGCUCUGCUUUGUGACUGAGGGCCCUUGGUUUCAGACUUUCAAUUGUCAUCAUGCACGAGCUCACUUGUGCAGCAUCGUAUUCCUGAUCUCGGCGACUCCCUGCCUAAAACCUACCACCUUAGGGUAUCUGUCAGACCUGGGUCCACGGGAUAGCUUACGGGGCACAGAUCUGUACGAACUAAGGGAUGGGGCAUGUCCUAUACCCUGACGUUAUGUAAUGUACUCGAAUACUAGUAGUACUAGUCGAACAGAAGAAAACUACUCAAGUAGUACUCGAGUAAGACUCCUAAACUAGUAUCCGAUUAGGACAUCAUGUAACCCUACCUCCCCAGACUAUAUAAGGGUGGGCAGGGACCCCCUCAAACACAAUCAAUCACAUCCAAGGCAAUACAAACCACAAACAGGAUGUAGCGUAUUAUGCAACACCGCGGCCCGAACUUGUCUAAAACCUUUGUGUUGCGACCUUCGAGUUCCUGAUCUCUGUGACAUCCUAACCAAUAAGUCUACUACCAUAGGAAAUACCAAGGUAGGCUUGCCAAUAAAACACCGACAGCUGGCGCGUCAGGUAGGGGUGUUCGUCGAAGAUCCCCUGGCGAACUCGAUGGCGAUCAUCAACUCCGCUCCCGUCCUUGAGAAAGGCACAACCUUCGCCUUUGGUUCAUGGGUGUGCAUGGCCAACGGUGUGGGUGGCUUCAACAGCCACCGUGUCGACACCACGAGCUUGGAGACCUCGGCAUCAUCAACUUGCGAGGUUGAGAUUGACGAUCUCCUCAACAAUCCCGGCGAGACGCUACUUCCCGAUCUGGUCAAACAACUCGAGUCGGAAUUCGAUUCCAACUCGACUUCUACCCAAACUGCGCCAAUACCCAAACUGCACCAACUCCCACCAGAUCGGACUUAAGUCAACCUCAAAUCCGAUCCUGCUUCGGGUUACGCAAUGAUGCCAUUGUUUAUCAAGAGGCCUUGCAUGCGCAAUUUUUUCUCGACCUGGAAAAGGAUCUGGACGAUCUACUUCGACUCGGAGUAGAUCAAAAGGAAGCAGAGGCCACCACAUGCCGGGAGGCCCCUGUCUAUGACAACUACUCCGACUGAUGACGACGCCGAGCCCUUAUCAGGCAAUCACCAGGGCCUUGUAGUCUCCUCCACACCACAAUGCCGCUUCGUGUACUGGAAGGGCAUGAAACCCUCUGAGCUAUACGACGCCGACAAUAGGCUUGUGGCUUGUCUUCCAGAACUCCCGUUCCAGGAGGGACGGCCACUUUCGCCCAUCCAAGAGGAAUAGCUUCUCAACAUGGGCCGUGUUUGGUAAAUUUCGCGCACGUUUUUCGAGAAGAGAAUCUCGCAUGCAUGAA